GAUGAACGCUGGCGGCGUGCCUAAUACAUGCAAGUCGAGCGAACAGACGAGGAGCUUGCUCCUCUGACGUUAGCGGCGGACGGGUGAGUAACACGUGGAUAACCUACCUAUAAGACUGGGAUAACUUCGGGAAACCGGAGCUAAUACCGGAUAAUAUAUUGAACCGCAUGGUUCAAUAGAGAAAGACGGUUUUGCUGUCACUUAUAGAUGGAUCCGCGCCGCAUUAGCUAGUUGGUAAGGUAACGGGUUACCAAGGCAACGAUGCGUAGCCGAGCGGAGAGGGUGAUAGGCCACCUUGGAACUGGGACACGGUCCAGACUCCUAAGGGAGGCAGCAGUAGGGAAUCGUACGCAAUGGGCGAAAGCCUGACGGAGCAGCGCCGCGUGAGUGAUGAAGGUCUUCGGAUCGUAAAACUCUGUUAUUAGGGAAGAACAAAUGUGUAAGUAACUAUGCACGUCUUGACGGUACCUAGUCAGAAAGCCACGGCUAACUACGUG
rnacentral:rRNA from 1 species